rnacentral:rRNA from 1 species
GACGAACGCUGGCGGCGUGCUUAACACAUGCAAGUCGAACGGAAAGGCCCCCUUGUGGGGUACUCGAGUGGCGAACGGGUGAGUAACACGUGAGUAACCUACCCUUGACUUUGGGAUAACUUCAGGAAACUGGGGCUAAUACCGGAUAGGAGCUCCUGCUGCAUGGUGGGGGUUGGAAAGUUUCGGCGGUUGGGGAUGGACUCGCGGCUUAUCAGCUUGUUGGUGGGGUAGUGGCUCACCAAGGCUUUGACGGGUAGCCGGCCUGAGAGGGUGACCGGCCACAUUGGGACUGAGAUACGGCCCAGACUCCUACGGGAGGCAGCAGUGGGGAAUAUUGCACAAUGGGCGGAAGCCUGAUGCAGCAACGCCGCGUGCGGGAUGACGGCCUUCGGGUUGUAAACCGCUUUCGCCUGUGACGAAGCGUGAGUGACGGUAAUGGGUAAAGAAGCACCGGCUAACUGCGUG